AAUGAACUGCGGCCUGGGCAGACCAAACUGGGACAGUUUCUGAAAUAAGGAAGAGAACGACAUGGAGGAGUUAGCAGUACAGUCUAUAGUUGCGGCGGAGAUGGAGGCGGCUGGGAUGCCCCUUUCACUUAAAAACCUUGAAGAAAUGGAGGAGAACAAGAGAAUACAAACUCACACUAUUGUUUAGGGUAGUCAGUAUUUAUCUUUUGCGAAACUACGCUACUUCCGCUAAGCACUCUGAACUGUGCCGCAGUGAAGCUCCAAACUCCUCCAAGUAACACAUUAGGCCGCUCAUGCUCUGCUGGAAUUCGUUUUUUUUCUUUUUAUUUUUUAAAUCUGUCAAUUUAUGAGAGCUUAAAGCACACUUGUCCUCUGUUUUCGACUAGCAGUUAGGAAUGUCAGCUUAGUAAAUUUAUGACAUCGUUGUCAUACACUGUAAUGUGACAUUUAUUUAUGUCGUUAAAUUAAGUAGCCUAUGUUUGUAUAGACGUUUCAGUGAUGGUUCUAAAGCAUAUUGUAGAAUAUCUUUAGCAAUAUAAUGAGGAAUUCUAACGGUGGCAGUGAAGUAUAAAGGGUAAAAGGAACAGGUCUUCUAACCUAAAGGUCACAGGUUCGAUUCCCGGAUAGGACACUGUCAUUGUAAUUCUGAGCAAGAGAGGCUGGGGACGUCUUUGAGGAAAAUGGCAGCUGCGCAUUCCCAGGAUGUAGAAUCGCAAUAUGACCUACACGGCACGCCGUUUUAUUUUUUAUCUUUGCUUGCGGGGUCCCCUGGGGUACAGAGCUCCCUACACAUGCAGUACAUGUCAAACUGGACAGGAGAAAUGGAACAAGGGGCUUAAUCUCAACUCUUUGUACAUUUUUCCUUUGAGCCUCCUGCAGACCCCUUGCAAUUCACUGUGUGGGAUAAAGAUCUAUCCAUUAGUGAUGACGAAAUCCCUUGGGAUACUAUUUGGAGUAAUCUGUUAUAUGUGUCUAAAAUCCUGAUCAUCAGCUUUCUCACGUGCUGAUAAUUCUGAUUGGCAAAUUUUGAAAAAGCAGGGGGCAAUUGGUUUUGAACUUCGGGACCUUUUGACCACAGUGAAGCGACUGUUAAUCUGUGCUAUUCUGUUCUGCCUGUUACUUUAUGUUCUGUUUUAUCCACCUGUCAGUUGUGUCUUUAUCCCUUGAAAGGAGAGUAUUUGCUCAUUUUCCUUUGACAAUAAGAGCCUAGGCUGGAGUGAGAUACUCAUUUCUGGCACUGUGAAGGAACACAAUGAGAAAUAAUAGCAAGGUUUAAUUGACAACUCUCCUGAACUGGAAAAUUGGGGUAUAAAUGUCUCAAGGACUGUUGUGGUGUGAACAUUCAGUGAGAAAUGUUUCCCAUUAACGGCAGUUGCUGGGAUUCUGGAGGAAAGGAGAGAGAAAUAACACUAGGCAGAGCUGAAAGUUACUUACACCAGCUCAUGGUCAAUAUCUGUCCAUCUGAAGACCGUGAUGAGAUGAUUUUGCAAACUGGCAGAGGAAUGAUUGUGAAAACGAAUAAGGUUUUUAGGUUCUAUCAAUGAGAAUUUCUUUCCAAUUCAAAUUUGAAAUCGGAAUGCUGGAGGUUCAUUGGAAAUUACAGUUCAUAUUUUAGAAUUAAAUCAACUUCUAAAUUCUGAAUUGACCUCAACCCCAAACCUAUGAAAUCACAAAAACCAUGUGCAAGUUUUAUUUUACAACAAUGUUUAUUUUGUGUUAGUGAUCAUACAUUAUAAGUGAGUCAUUGAUAGUGAGUAUGU